rnacentral:rRNA from 1 species
UACGUAGGGUGCAAGCGUUGUCCGGAAUUAUUGGGCGUAAAGAGCUCGUAGGCGGUGUGUCACGUCGGCCGUGAAAACCUGCAGCUUAACUGUGGGCGUGCGGUCGAUACGGGCAUCACUGGAGUUCGGCAGGGGAGACUGGAAUUCCUGGUGUAGCGGUGAAAUGCGCAGAUAUCAGGAGGAACACCGGUGGCGAAGGCGGCAUCCUGGACCAAUAUUGACGCUGAGGAGCGAAAGCCAGGGGAGCAAACGGG